rnacentral:lncRNA from 1 species
CUGCGUGGUCGAGCUGGCUGCCCCCUCAGCCGCCUGCCUUUGUGCCUCCAGCCUCCUUGGCUCCCUGAGUGCCUCACUUUGCCUUCUCCCCUGUUUCUCCCACCUCUGAGGCCGAGUAGCAGAAGUCAGAAGCUGGUGUCCAAGAGCCCCAAGAAGCAUGGUUAUGUCCCCUGAAGCCCUGGUCCACAUGAAGCUCUUCCUGCUUUUCUUCAGAGGAAGAUGCAGGAGCUGGUUAAUGGAAUGGAUUUUGCAUUCAGACAUCUCUUGGGGCUGCCUGUAGGUGGAUAUGUUCAUGGAAGACGGUGAAAAAGACAAGAAUAGGAUUUGCUGUAUAGAAUCACUAUAGUCACCAUCACACUGAGUAUCAACAACAUCUCUUGUUAUCCUCACAACUGUGCAAAACAGAUAUCCGACAGAGAGAAAGAGAAUGUGAUUGACUCUUAACUAGAGUCACGCACCACUCUGGAUCAAUCAUCUGAGGCCUGGGAGAAGUGUCAUA